rnacentral:rRNA from 1 species
GAUUGUAGUCAUAUGCUUGUCUCAAAGAUUAAGCCAUGCAUGUCUAAGUAUAAGCAAUUAUACAGCGAAACUGCGAAUGGCUCAUUAAAUCAGUUAUCGUUUAUUUGAUAGUACCCUACUACAUGGAUAACCGUGGUAAUUCUAGAGCUAAUACAUGCUAAAAAUCCCGACUUCGGAAGGGAUGUAUUUAUUAGAUUAAAAACCAAUGCCCUUCGGGGCUUCCUGGUGAUUCAUAAUAACUUCUCGAAUCGCACGGCCUUGCGCCGGCGAUGGUUCACUCAAAUUUCUGCCCUAUCAACUUUCGACGGCUGGGUCUUGGCCAGCCGUGGUGACAACGGGUAACGGAGGGUUAGGGCUCGACCCCGGAGAAGGAGCCUGAGAAACGGCUACUACAUCCAAGGAAGGCAGCAGGCGCGCAAAUUACCCAAUCCCGACACGGGGAGGUAGUGACAAUAAAUACUGAUACAGGGCUCUUUUGGGUCUUGUAAUUGGAAUGAGUACAAUUUAAAUCCCUUAACGAGGAACAAUUGGAGG